rnacentral:rRNA from 1 species
CUUGCUAUAAUUCUCUAGUGGCGCACGGGUGAGUAACACGUGAGUAACCUGCCCCCGAGAGCGGGAUAGCCCUGGGAAACUGGGAUUAAUACCGCAUAGUAUCGAAAGAUUAAAGCAGCAAUGCGCUUGGGGAUGGGCUCGCGGCCUAUUAGUUAGUUGGUGAGGUAACGGCUCACCAAGGCGAUGACGGGUAGCCGGUCUGAGAGGAUGUCCGGCCACACUGGAACUGAGACACGGUCCAGACACCUACGGGUGGCAGCAGUCGAGAAUCAUUCACAAUGGGGGAAACCCUGAUGGUGCGACGCCGCGUGGGGGAAUGAAGGUCUUCGGAUUGUAAACCCCUGUCAUGUGGGAGCAAAUUAAAAAGAUAGUACCACAAGAGGAAGAGACGGCUAACUCUGUGCCAGCAGCCGCGGUAAUACAGAGGUCUCAAGCGUUGUUCGGAAUCACUGGGCGUAAAGCGUGCGUAGGCUGUUUCGUAAGUCGUGUGUGAAAGGCGCGGGCUCAACCCGCGGACGGCACAUGAUACUGCGAGACUAGAGUAAUGGAGGGGGAACCGGAAUUCUCGGUGUAGCAGUGAAAUGCGUAGAUAUCGAGAGGAACACUCGUGGCGAAGGCGGGUUCCUGGACAUUAACUGACGCUGAGGCACGAAGGCCAGGGGAGCGAAAGGGAUUAGAUACCCCUGUAGUCCUGGCAGUAAACGGUGCACGCUUGGUGUGCGGGGAAUCGACCCCCUGCGUGCCGGAGCUAACGCGUUAAGCGUGCCGCCUGGGGAGUACGGUCGCAAGAUUAAAACUCAAAGAAAUUGACGGGGACCCGCACAAGCGGUGGAGUAUGUGGCUUAAUUCGAUGCAACGCGAAGAACCUUACCUGGGCUUGACAUGUAAUGAACAACAUGUGAAAGCAUGCGACUCUUCGGAGGCGUUACACAGGUGCUGCAUGGCCGUCGUCAGCUCGUGUCGUGAGAUGUUUGGUUAAGUCCAGCAACGAGCGCAACCCCUGUUGCCAGUUACCAGCACGUGAAGGUGGGGACUCUGGCGAGACUGCCCAGAUCAACUGGGAGGAAGGUGGGGACGACGUCAGGUCAGUAUGGCCCUUAUGCCCAGGGCUGCACACGUACUACAAUGCCCAGUACAGAGGGGGCCGAAGCCGCGAGGCGGAGGAAAUCCUAAAAACUGGGCCCAGUUCGGACUGUAGGCUGCAACCCGCCUACACGAAGCCGGAAUCGCUAGUAAUGGCGCAUCAGCUACGGCGCCGUGAAUACGUUCCCGGGUCUUGUACACACCGCCCGUCACAUCAUGGAAGCCGGUCGCACCCGAAGUAU